CCAUAAUAAAAACACACAGACACAAACAGAAAUCUCUUGUUUACAUAUCUAGCCGGAAAUGGAAUAUAUUCUUCUAACUAAUCAAAUAGCCAAAAUAUUUUUUCCCACAUCGCCAAGAAGGAGUCAAUUGUGUUCAACUACGCGUACAACCCACUUAAAACCUAAAGUAACCCUGUAGUUGUACAAAUAGCUAAAUAGAAUGCCGUCACAAUUCACAAUAUCCUUUUGGUAAUGAAAAUAUGAGCACUGACGUCAACAAUAAAACUGAGCCGCAGAUUCUCCUCAAACUUGUGGUAGCUCUGCUUCUUCUUCUUCAGCUCAUAUUGGGUUCCGGAGUUGAGUCAGCACGUCCAUGUCGGCUUCUUCUGGAACCUUAUCUCCCCAGCUCUGGAAAUGGCGGUCUAAACGACGAUGAAGCUCAACCCACUAAUAUUAUUCAUCAAAAACAACCUAUCCCAUUCCCCAGUCCCGCUAACUUCCCUCCUUCGCGGCAGGGAAAGCCGUACAUAGGAAUUUGCCGGAGCUAUUCGCCGCCGGGAAGGCAUGGCUAAAUGAAUGAUAGGCCGGACCGCGUUCUCAUGUCCGGUGAAUAUUAAUUUUUCAAACUCGAUCUCGCUUUGAUUUGUUAUUUCUUUUUUCUUGGGAAAUGCACAAGGCUAUCAUAGUCUUAAUUGUUUAUAGUUUUUGUUGGUGCAACUUGGUAGUGAAUACUGAAUAAUACUGUCUUCCCUGUUAUGAAUUUUAUAAUAUGUACGUCGCCAGACCCACAAAUAUAUUGCUAGCUAGCCGACAUGCAAACUGCCAAUCUAUAUCGCCUCGGAGGGAAUUACAGUUGUGGUAGCCCACUAAUAAAUUUUAUUUCUACAAAUAGCCCACUCAUACAGUUCACGAUAUCCUUUCUUGUAAUGAAACUAUGAUGAGCACUGACAAGAACAAAACUGAGCCACAGAUUCUCUUGAUCAGACUUGUGGUAGCUCUGCUUCUUCUUCUUCUCAUAUUGGGUUCGGGAGUUGAGUCAGCACUCCCAGGUCGUCUUCUUCUGGAACCUAAUUAUCUCCCCAGUACCGGAAAUGGCGGUCUAAACGACGAACCUCAACCCGCUCAUAUCAUUCAUAAAAAACGACGUCUCCUCAGUCCCAGUACUAAUCCACCACGUCAGUACUACUGAUUCUUUCUUAAUUAUAUUAUUAUUCUGGCCGGCCUUUUCUUCCAGUUCUCCAGUUUCGUUUCAUUUCUAUAAGUAGCUAGUGAACGAUGAAUGCAUGAAGCUUGUGCCGUGGUUUACGCGCGUGUAGGAGUUGGCAAUUGUAGAUUUCCGCCGGCGCCAAAAGAAUCCACGGGGAGACGAGCUAGCCGGAGCGUUUCACCCCCAGGACGGCAUGGCUAAAUUAUCAAUGUGAUAGGCCGCUGGCCUGAACAUGUCCGGUAAAUAUUAAUUUUCCCUGCUGUGAAAGCAGAGUAAAUCAACUGUCCCUGAUUUCCUCUUCUUUUUUUUUUUGGUAAACGUAAUCCAAUUGUUUAUAUUUUCUUGUGACAAGUUGGUACUGAAUAAGACUGCUUCUUUUGUUUAUUACGGCAAUUCCAUAGAGAUGAAGCCAAAAGCGAACCAGCAAUAAUUCUAGGUAGCUGACAGAUAUGGCCAGAUGCCCACUUGCAGACUAUCCAACUCUACGGAAUGGAUGCUCGAACUCAAAUUGGAUUUCAGCACCAUGCUGAAACCAAAUAUAACUUUCUGCUUGUUUUUUCCCUUUGAUUCAAUGGUUUAAAUUUUUAUAGUGGAUAGUUUGUGAUUUUUAUAAAACCUUUUUUUUAAAAGCCAAAAUAUUUUAAUUUAAGUCCAGCUUUUAUGUAUUUUUUUACGAAGACGGAUUAAACGAAACAAAUCUUGAUAUUAUCCUGACGACUUUAAAAUACGGAUAGUUUUUACAUUUUCUUCUCUCUUCAACAAGUUAUGAUAAGCAUGUUUAAUCUUUAGUAUCGUUAUUUUCUUCUUAUUUUGAAACAUCUCCAAAUUUAUUAUUACAUACAAUAUAUUAUUACAAUGGGCUGCGUAAUAACGAACUACAGUCAACUGCUAUCAGUUGAGACUUGAGUGGCUAUGGCUCGGGUUACAGACCCAAUGACCUCUUUUCCCUAGCACGGGUUACUUGACUUCGGCCGAAUUUGCGCCAGGCCCAAACUUUGUGGCCCGCUUACUAUCGGCCCUCAUCUCAGCUGGUCCAAUUUAGGAGGAUCUUGUGUUUGGCCCAACGCGCUGAUUAGACCCAGUUUCAGGCUUGGCACUCUGGUUGUGAUUCUAGCCAGAUGUGGUUGUACCACAUGAUUUGACUGGUUACGGUCCAACCAUUGCAGUUAGUCUACUACAUAAGUUCAGUUUCAAAUUCUUAAAAACAAAAAUAAAAAAACCCGUCUGCCAUAAUCGGUUGGGAAAAUAUAAUAACAUUUUUUUUUUCAAAAUCGUAGAGCUGGAAACAAUAAUCACGUACGUCACGUUGAUGAAAAAAUUUCGUGGAACAGAGUCCUAAUCCUCAAACAAGUUUGCGAGGUAUCUGCAAGCAGCAGAUCGCCGAGCUGAGCUAUUUGGGGAUUCAUGAAUUGUAGAAACCAAUGUACACUUGUCAAAUUUCCAGAACAUACCAAACUAUAUAUAUUUAUUAAUUAUUCUGAUCCUUUUAUGUGUUUGCCUCCUGAGUAGGUUUGGCAGCAGGUCCGUGGGUUUCGGGUAUCCGUUAGAGCCCGUUUGGAUUGAGUUGAUUUGUGCCCACCAACCGUGGGGUCUUGUCGGUUUCGAGCACAUCCGCGCCCCGCCAAAUUCGGGCGACGGGCGGUCAUGGUUAAUGGGAUAUCCGACCCAUCACCGAUCCGAUAACAAAACAACGUCGUUUUGCCUAUGAUAUAUAAACAAUUUUUAGGGUUUCAGACUUCAGUUUGUGCUUUUCUUUCCGAGUUCAUUUCCCAGAGUUCUGGAAUCUGGGAAAAUUUUUUUAGCUCUGGAUUCAUAUUUGUCGGGUACUUUUUAUAUUUCAGUUUCUGAAUUCUGAGUAAUGAAAUUUCACAGUUUUUACUUUACAUUGAA
rnacentral:lncRNA from 1 species